rnacentral:rRNA from 1 species
UGGGGGAUAUUGCACAAUGGGCGAAAGCCUGAUGCAGCGACGCCGCGUGGGGGAUGAAGGCCUUCGGGUUGUAAACUUCUUUUGCUCUGAACAAGGCGCACCAUGGGGUGUGUUGAGUGUAGGGGUUGAUUAGCGCCGGCUAACUACGUGCCAGCAGCCGCGGUCAUACGUAGGGCGCGAGCGUUGUCCGGAAUUAUUGGGCGUAAAGGGCUUGUAGGUGGCUGGUUGCGUCUGUCGUGAAAGCUCAUGGCUUAACUGUGGGUUUGCGGUGGGUACGGGCUGGCUUGAGUGCAGUAGGGGAGGCUGGAAUUCCUGGUGUAGCGGUGGAAUGCGCAGAUAUCAGGAGGAAUACCGGUGGCGAAGGCGGGUCUCUGGGCUGUUACUGACACUGAGGAGCGAAAGCAUGGGGAGCGAACAGG